rnacentral:rRNA from 1 species
AUUGAACGCUGGCGGCAGGCCUAACACAUGCAAGUCGAGCGGCAGAAGGGAGCUAGCUUGCGGAUUCGGCGGGGGACGGGCGGGUGAUGCCUGGGUACCUGCCUGGCAGUUGGGGCGUAGGUGAGAAAACGGGCGCAAUUACCGUAAUAGCCCAGACGGCGAAAGGGGGGGAUCAUCGGACCUUACGACAUUAGACGAGCCUAGGAGGGAUUAGCGAGUUGGUGGGGUAAAGGGCUACCAAGGCGACGAUCCGUAACUGGUCUGAGAGGAUGAUCAGUCACACUGGAACUGAGACACGGUCCAGACUCCUACGGGAGGCAACAGUGGGGAAUAUUGGACAAUGGGCGAAAGCCUGAUCCAGCCAUGCCGCGUGGGUGAAGAAGGUCUUCGGAUUGUAAAGCCCUUUUAUUUGGGAGGAAGGGCAGUAAGUUAAUACCUUGCUGUUUUGACGGUACCAACAGAAUAAGCACCGGCUAACUUCGUG